rnacentral:tRNA from 1 species
GACUUCGUGGUGUAGUGGUUCUGCACAUUGGACCGAUAUUCCAAUGGUCCGUGGUUCGAUUCCCGGCGAAGGCG